UUCCUGGUGGUCCAGUGACUAAGACUCUAAGCUCCCAAUGCAGGGGGCCCAGGUUCAAUCCCUGGUCAGGGAA
rnacentral:tRNA from 1 species